rnacentral:siRNA from 1 species
AUGGCCUAAUGGUACCAUGUUC